AUUGAACGCUGGCGGCAGGCCUAACACAUGCAAGUCGGGCGAGAGGCGGACGGGUGAGUAAUGUAUGGGGAUCUGCCUGAUGGAGGGGGAUACCUACUGGAAACGGUAGCUAAUACCGCAUACCAUCAGAUGAACCCAUAUGGGAUUAGCUAGUAGGUGGGGUAAAGGCUCACCUAGGCGACGAUCCCUAGCUGGUCUGAGAGGAUGAUCCGCCACACUGGGACGGAGACACGGCCCAGACUCCUACGGAAGGCAGCAGUGGGGAAUAUUGCACAAUGGGCGCAAGCCUGAUGCACCCAUGCCGCGUGUAUGAAGAAGGCCUUCGGGUUGUAAAGUACUUUCAGUGGGGAGGCGUUACCGGCAGAAGAAGCACCGGCUAACUCCGUGCCAGCAGCCGCGGUAAUUC
rnacentral:rRNA from 1 species